rnacentral:rRNA from 1 species
CGUUUCUAGUCUGGGUGUCGAAGCGAAGUGAUACAUUAAGCUAACCAGUACUAAUUACCCGUGAGGCUUAACCAUACAACGCCAAAGUGGUUUUAG